rnacentral:rRNA from 1 species
UCGGGAAUUUUGGGCAAUGGGCGAAAGCCUGACCCAGCAACGCCGCGUGAGGGAUGAAGUAUUUCGGUAUGUAAACCUCGAAAGAAUGGGAAGAAUAAAUGACGGUACCAUUUAUAAGCUCCGGCCAACUACGUGCCAGCAGCCGCGGUAAUACGUAGGGAGCAAGCGUUGUUCGGAUUUACUGGGCGUAAAGGGCGCGUAGGCGGCGCGGUAAGUCACUUGUGAAAUCUCUGAGCUUAACUCAGAACGGCCAAGUGAUACUGCUGUGCUAGAGUGCGGAAGAGGCAACCGGAAUUCUUGGUGUAGCGGUGAAAUGCGUAGAUAUCAAGAGGAACACCUGAGGCGAAGGCGGGUUGCUGGGCCGACACUGACGCUGAUGCGCGAAAGCCAGGGGAGCAAACG